CCUACGCCGGGCAGGGCUCAGGGCCAGGGGCCAGCCCGGCCCCGCCCCACCGCCCGCCGGGACCCGCAGCGGGGCAGCCGGCUCGGGCAGCCCUGGCCCCACCGCGCCGGGGAGGCGAGGGCAGCCCCGCGAGAGGAGCCUCCAAGGUGGUGUUUUUCAUUUAGAGAUUCUGCCUCAUUCGUCUCAGAGAUUGUUUCACCAUCUUCAUCAUCUUCAGUUUCCUGCAAUGAAGACAAGACAAUAAGAAAAAUUUACUGGACAAAAUGAAACCUGUUCUGAUGUCUUAUAUAAGGAGACACCGACAGUGAUAGCAGUCUGUGCCAGUUCUGCAGAACAUACAGCUCUGGCAAGGACCACCAUUCAAACGUCUUCUAUCUAGGUUUUGCCAAUACAGCACCUUGACUCAGUGCAAACAGGUGGGGCAAACAUUUUUCUCCAACACCCAUCCCAACAGUGGUCUCUGAAUCUGUUAACAUGGGGUGAUGACCAAACUUUUCUGCCACCACCAGGAAACAUAUCCAGAUUGUCUUCGCAAUGGAGCUCAGCCUUGUCAACUCAGGAAGUAAGACUCCGGAAGUCGUUCUGGAAUAGAACUAAUCCACAAUACAAACAUUUAAAAUCAAAACCCUGCAGCCUGAAAGUUUAAUCACAGCCAUUUCAGCGUAUAUAGUGCAUUCUGAUGCCAGAAUAUCUCAAAGCUUUUCAUAGGAUCUGUACAGAGCUAGUGACCAUAGUAAAGCUUCGAGGAUACCCACAAGUGAUCCACUGAGAAGAUUUUAAAUUACAUAUACAGACAGAGAAAAAAAGGGAAACACACACAAACACACACACACAGGUUCAUUGAGUCCAAAGAGCGUGGCAAGCUUCCCACCAAGGAAUUCGCAAGCUGAAAAGACAAGGAGGAGAAAGAACAGCAGCAAUUCUGUCCCUUAUGACCUUUGCCUCAUUCAGGACACAGGACAGACUGUGAAUGGAUCCUGGGAAUGGAUCAUGAUUGUGCAGUGAAUGAGGCAGGGACUGCAGGAACAGAAAAGACGGUGUCAUGAUUAAGAUAGUUGAAUGCUUCCCCGGAGAAAAGGAUUUGAUCCCAGCCUCUGUUGCAAAGUUCCUAUGUGGCCUCGGGCAAUAACAAAAGUUUUCACAGUGUGCACCCAUCUCAUUUUCUGAGUCCCAGGCUGACACACAUGGGAUCUGAACUGUAGAAAUGCUGACCUCACAGCUUCAACAGAAGUCAAUGGGAGCUUUGCUUAGAGCAUUAAGCACCUUAAUAUGCUUUGCACUUACAAAAAAAAAACCCAUAUGCAUCUGUAGCAGGGUGAUCAGCCGCUCCUGCCCUGAAGGGCUUGAAAUAGCCCUGGGAGAGGGCUGAGACUGCGAGAGGGCUGCUGCUAGGGAAAGCAGCAAGCCUCAGCUGAUUGGGGAAACAGCCACAGCUGCGGCCACGCCCCAAUCAAGGCCCAGCUGGCCUUUGUAAGAGGGCAGUGGGCCAGAAGGACACACUCUCUCUCUAGAUGUUGAGAGGGAGGGGCCUGACAGCUCGGAGCUGAGCAGGGUACCUAAAGUGGAGCAGUGCUGGGGAAAGGCCAGAGGAGCUGGAGAGCUCCGGCCUGGGAAAACCUCAGGCUGCAGGCCUUGAUGAAGGCCUAGGAAAAGGGUACUAGGGUUGCAGAGGGCAGCCCAAGGGUAGGCAGAAGCAGCAGGUCCAGACCCUCCUUGCUGAUAACGAGUGGCAAUUAUACUGCAGUCCGCCCCAGGGAGCAGGGGCUAGAUGGUGACUGGCAGUAGCCACUGAGGCGAGAUGGGAAUAGUGGGUUGGGGGUUCCUGCGGCGGGCAGAACCCCUGAGUAAAGAAGCACCGUGGUCCGGGAAGGACUCAGGGGCCCAUAAGCAAGCAGGACACUGGCCUGCAGAGGGCGCUCUGGAGGUUGGAAAUGCUAAUUCCCUGGAUGACCAGCAGGAGGCACUGCAGGGGUGAGUCCUGCCCCAUUACAGCAUCUCAAAGAGGGCACCCAAAAUUAAUUGACACGUGACAAUUUUGGCUCUAAUUUUUGUGCAUCAGUUCCCAAAGUGCAAAAGGGAGGUAAUAUCCCCAUAUCGUAGAACGGGAUUGUGAAAAUAACUUCAUUGUGUUUCUGAAACACUCCAAUUACAGUACUUGGACGACACCAUCAUAGAGAUGCUCAAGAGGAAAUUAAUAAUUCUCGGGUUUUGAUGGUGUGUAGUAAAUAAUACAUGGAGCCACACAUGGAAUGAGAAGGAUAAAAUCAGAUAUUGAAUAGCUAACCAUUCAGUGAGCACCACCCCACAUGUGUACUGAAUGAGGCAAGGGUUUGGGGGGAAAAGUAGUAUGUGAUCAUGUAAUUAAGAAGAUUAUAUCAUAAUUCCUAUGCAGAAGGGGGCUAAAUUAAAAUUGCUCAGGCACCCUUAAUUUGGGCAUUUCCGAGUUUUUGAGUGCUUGACUUUGAAACUCAUGUUCUUUUAAGGUAGUUAUUUUGGAUGCAGUAUUUAAUAUACGGUCACACUAGAAAUGAAAAGGAUACCUAGCAUCUGCCAACUAUAAUGACAUAUACAGAGACUAGUAUUGGUUAAAACCAUCACUGUGACAAUGCAAAACUGAUUUAGUAUUAUAGGGCUGAAUGAAAGUGAGACCAGCUUCAUGUCAGCAGACCCACAGGAAAUCAUCUGCCAUGGAGGUUAUUUCCAAUUAAACCUGCUUUUCUUCAGUAGCUGCAGCAUGGCACAUUGUACUAGAUGUAUUGGUAGUACAAAAGUCAGAGUCCCCAAGACUGCAUAGCCAGAUCAUGACAUACUGGUACAGCCAUCAGGCUUUUGCCACUGAAUUCAGGUUGCUCCUUUAAGCAUGCUGAGGCAGUCCCCACAUUGGUGGGAAUUUCUUUCUUGUUGCUGUAAGAAACUGAUUUUUUUAAAAUGACAAUGGAUGGCCUGAUCUCAAAUAAUCUAACCUGAAGAAUUUCAUAUUUAAUAGUGUUACCUAGAUGUCUAUCUCCUUGAAAGAAAAUACUAUAUUUUAUUUAUUUAUUAUUUAUAAUAUAUUUAUAUUUAAUAUAUUAUAAAAUAUAUAUCAGAGGUUUUUUUUUGUAUAGAAUAGCAACACCCAGUUUUGAGCAUACAUAAAACAAAUAAGAUGAAGGAAAAAAUUCUGGUGGUGAUCUUAUAUCUUAAUAAUAUUGAAUAGUAAUUAUAUUCAACUAAUGUAAAAUAACCCUCCCAUUGAUGCCAAAAAAAAUACCUACUAAAAAGUGAAGUUGUUGCAACUCGAACUGCCCACAGCCGCAGAUAGAGCCCCCAGGAGAGUUUGGACUACAAAACAAGAACAAAAGGAAAACUUUCAUUUUAGACAUACAGAAUUGAAUUAAUCCAUAGGUUUGUACCAGAGAUUAAUUUGGCCCAUAAUAUUUGCUGUAUGCAAGGAUCUUCCAUGGUGUAGGGGAGAAAGCUCACUGUUUUCUUUACUUCAGUCUUUACACAGGGUGCUGUUUUUAGCUAGCUAGUCUCAGCUGAUUUACAGCAAGUCUCUGUCUAUUUGAACUAGGGAUACCAGUCUCAUUUACCAAGCCAACAAGAAACAUCAGUACAAUGAACAUAAGGAACAUAUAUACAAUAGAACACAAAAGGUCCAAUCCUACAAAA